CCCUUGAUAGCUCAGUUGGUAGAGCGUGAGACUGUAAUGGAAAACUUGCAUGUGCAAGAUUAUGUUAUCUCAAGGUCACUAGUUCGAUCCUGGUUCAAGGGA
rnacentral:tRNA from 1 species